UGGGGAAUAUUGGACAAUGGGCGCAAGCCUGAUCCAGCAAUGCCGCGUGAGUGAUGAAGGCCUUAGGGUUGUAAAGCUCUUUCGCACGCGACGAUGAUGACGGUAGCGUGAGAAGAAGCCCCGGCUAACUUCGUGCCAGCAGCCGCGGUAAUACGAAGGGGGCUAGCGUUGUUCGGAAUUACUGGGCGUAAAGGGCGCGUAGGCGGCCUGUUUAGUCAGAAGUGAAAGCCCCGGGCUCAACCUGGGAAUAGCUUUUGAUACUGGCAGGCUUGAGUUCCGGAGAGGAUGGUGGAAUUCCCAGUGUAGAGGUGAAAUUCGUAGAUAUUGGGAAGAACACCGGUGGCGAAGGCGGCCAUCUGGACGGACACUGACGCUGAGGCGCGAAAGCGUGGGGAGCAAACAGGAUUAGAUACCCUGGUAGUCCACGCCGUAAAACGAUGAAUGCUAGACGUCGGGGUGCAUGCACUUCGGUGUCGCCGCUAACGCAUUAAGCAUUCCGCCUGGGGAGUACGGCCGCAAGGUUAAAACUCAAAUGAAUUGACGGGGUCAUAGCUGUUUCCU
rnacentral:rRNA from 1 species